rnacentral:lncRNA from 1 species
GGGCCUUUAUUUUUAUUCUGCUUGGAGACAUCUGCUACAUAAGUAUGUAUGCUGAGUAUUUUGCAUACAGAACAUAUAUACUCGGUUUCCGUUGUCUGUUAUGUAAAUAUAUCUUCACACACACACAAACACACUUUCUUCACACACACUGCAGAGUACACACUCUACCACUGCCUGUUAACACACACACAUAUUUACUUUUCAUCAUCAAUCAACCUCACUCUCUCUCUCCAGCAGCCUCAUGCUCAUAGCCAGACACACACUCUCUCCAGCUUGAACACAAGCCUACAAUGACUCUCCUCGCCUCUCUGUCACAUUCACACUCUCCUCUGCAUAAACACACUCUUUUCCCCCCUUGCCAUGUGCACGCACACACACACACACACACACACACACACACACACACACACACACACACACACACACACACACACACACACACACACACACACACACACACACCAGUGGAGGCUGCUGAGGGGAGGAUGGCUCAUAAUAAUGGCCGGAAUGGAGCAAAUGGAAUGGAAUCAAACAUAUGGAAACCACUUGUUCGAUAGAUACAAUUCCACCACUCCGCUCCAGCCAUUACCACAAGCCCGUCCUCCCUAAUUAAGGUGCCACCAACCUCCUGUGACACACACAUACUGUAUGCACGUGCAUGCACACAAUAUCCUUCUUUAUCGCUCUGCCACAUGCACACACACAUGUUCUGCAUAAACACACUCUUCCUUGCCAGAAUGUGCACUCAUGUACGCACUCUCCAUAUCUCUCAUUGUCACAUUUUCACACCCCACCAUCGUCCUCAUUGGUCCUCCGCAUCUCAUAUUCUCAGUGUGGUGCAGUGAGACCCUAUCCGGGGGCACAGCACUGGAUCGUUCUGUGACUGUUACCAUCUGACGCUGUAGCCUACUAUACCUCCCCUUUCCCCCAUCCCUCCUGCAUAGGAGAAAAUGUACCUAACUCCAAAUGUGUGAUCACUUCUGUAUCUGAAUCGAUAAAGACCUGGGCCAGAGUCCGCAGCAUUUCAGUGGUGGCGUUGGCCAGAUCCUUCGAAGGCGUCCAGGCGGCAUGGGAACGGGGCUGAAAUUAGCCUCAUCGUCGUCGUGCGCCUGGCAGUUCUCCAGGAAUAUGCGUAUGAUGGUAGCGGGGUGAACAGGCUUUGGCUCGGGUGGCUGAGGUCCUUGAUGAUCUUCUUGACCUACCUAUGAAACCGGGUGCUGUAGAUGUCCUGGAGGGCAGGCACUGUGCCCCCGAUGAUGCGUUGGGCUAACCACACCACCCUCUGGAGAGCCCAGCGGUUGCGGACGGUGCAAUUGCUGUGCCAGGUGAUACAGCAGUGAUACAGCCCGACAGGAUGCUCUUUACACCUCUCCACCUCUGUGUUCACCUCUCCACCCCCCUUCUCUCCCCCAUGUCUCUAAGCCCUUCUCUCCCCCAUGUCUCUAAACCCUUCUCUCUAUCUGUCAAAGUCCCCCUCUCCAUGUCUUUCUUGGGUUCUAGCCUUCUCCCCCCCUCUUUGUGUGUGUGACUCUCUCUCUGUCCUUUCCCCUCUCCUCUUUGUGUCUCUCUCUCUCCUUUCCCCUCUCCUCUUCGUGUCUCUCUCUCUCUCUCUCCUUUCCCCUCUCCUCUUUGUGUCUCUCUCUCUCCUUUCCCCUCUCCUCUUCGUGUCUCUCUCUCUCUCUCCUUUCCCCUCUCCUCUUCGUGUCUCUCUCUCUCUUUUCCCCUCUCCUCUUCAUGUCUCUCUCUCUAUUUUCCCCUCUUCGUGUGUCUCUCUCUCUCUCUCUCUCUCCUCUCCUCUUAAUGUGUGUGUCUCUCUCUGUCUUCCUGUCUCUUAACCCCUGUGCACUGUCAGGGUUUACUUUGGCUUGGUUUCUGUUCUAGUUUGUGUAGUAGGAACAGGAGAGUGAACAGGCUGUUCAGACAAUAUGACAGGUGUUCUGUCAUCUAUACAUAGAAUAGAAUACAUUAACAUUCAUUACAUACAUAUGUUACACAAUAA